AGUUAACAGCACUCUGCCACGUCAAGCUUACGAGUUGCCGCUGUGCCACCCGGUAGGAACGUGACGAUGCGCUCCGUUCUCCGGUCUCUGUUUUCCAAGUCAGAUACGGUCGCAUUUUCAAGGGGAAGCCUCCAGACUUCAAUCUGGGACAGAUGUUAUGGUUUUUUUUUAUGUUUCUUUUGGUCCAGACAAACCUCAGGGCCUGGAGGUAGAACCGAACUUUUAUAACUUCUCUAAUUCCAGAUCUUUACGGCCUGGCUGUUUGACUUCGAGUGUCUCACUCUGACCGGAGAGGAGAUGACGGAUGAAUGGAUGGUGACGGGAUGUGGAUGGGGAUGGGUGAAGCUUGAAGAGAAACAUCUGUCCUGAAUCUUGCAAGCUUUGCACUGCAGAAGAGUCCGGACAGGAGGGGAGCGAAAACCAGGAAUGUUCGUGGAGGCAGAACGGAGCGCUGAGAUCAUCAUCUCGUUGGUAAACGGUAAAGCCCACUGAUAUCUUUAAUCUCUGAAUUAGCCAGACGUCUCGGAUACGAGUGCAUGUGCAGAUCGCUCCAGAAUGCGGAGGAUGGAGGUUAAAUAGAGAGGACGUUGACCUGUCCCGCCUGCCCAGUGUUCAGACUACCUGUUCAGGAAGUAGCGGUUGUACAGUAGUCUGCACAUUGGUUAGGCUGGGUGGGGAAGCGCAUGAGAGUCGCGGCCUUCGUCAUCGUCAUCGCUCAUCGUCAACUUAUCUGCCAAUCAACAGCUUGUCAUGUUUUACUGCUUAACUCUGAUGUCUUUAAUAAACUCCUCGAAUUUAACCUCAAA